rnacentral:rRNA from 1 species
AAUCAACGCUGGCGGCGUGCCUCAGACAUGCAAGUCGAACGAGAAGGCUCCUUCGGGGCGACAGUGGCGCACGGGUGAGUAACACGUGGGUAAUUUACCUUCGGGUGGGACAACAGCCGGAAACGGCUGCUAAUACCGCAUAAUGCAGCGGCACCUAAUGGUGACAGUUGUUAAAGCGGGGGAUCGCAAGACCUCGCGCCUGAAGAGAAGCCUGCGGCGGANAGGUUAGUUGGUGAGGUAAUGGCUCACCAAGCCU